GACUAGCACAGGAUCCAAAGACUGUUUAGAACCAGCACUGAGCCCAUCCUGGCCUGGAGACUCACAGGGACCUGGGGACUCCUCUCUGAGGAGCAGGUGCCUCUUAAGAAACUCCCCCAGGUCAGGCCCUUUAGCCCUCUCGUCCCACCACUUACAUGCUCCAGCUCCUGGCUUAGCCCAGGGCCCUGUCUGCACUGCACUUAACCGGCCCCUCUAGGGACCUGGCUCAGCCCGCCCAGCCUCAGAGGCAGCCUUUUUUGCUCCAUCCUCCUACUCUGUGGCAGGAGUAUUUGGCCCCCCUCUUCUCCCUCCCACUUGCUCUGCUUUCAGAUCUGCUUGCCCACUGCAGAUAUACCUCCUCAUAGGCAUGGUAUCACCCAGCCUCCCUUGGAGUCCCAGGACUCAGUGAGUGACCCUAAGUCCUGGCCAAAGGUCAUCUGCAGCAAGCUCUCUGCCUUUUGCCUGCUGCUGACUCCCCAUGGCAUGGAUUCUUCUCACUGUCAGGGUCUCAUGUAGCCCAGGCUAAUCUCAAAACCACUAAGUAGCCAAGGACAAUGAACUUCUGAUCUUACUGCUUAGACCAUGGAGUUCUGUGGCUGCAGGUGUAUACCAUCUCAAAAGGAAGUACCUGGACCCAGUACAGAUGGAAAUCGCCACAUCCAGAGACUUCAAGGCCCUUGAGACUGUGAGCCUGGCUGAAGCCCAACUGGGGCUGAUACCCCUGUCAACCAAGCAUGGCACUUACUAUACAACCUAUGUGAUAUGGGGUGCACUGAAGGCAUGGCUGGCCAAGACACCAACCUGAGACCUAGCGAUAGAUGGACAGGAAUCCCCACCUUGGAAGGCACAGGGGAAGAUGGGGCUCAGUUCUGGGCCUGUAGACCUGCCUGUACACCCUGUCCUUGCACUGCUCUGUGAGGGCUCCGGAAGGUAACAGUGACCUGUACACUGCCAGAGGGCACUGCUGGCCUCUCAACCUAUGCUGCUUCUCAGGCUGGGCUAGCGCAUAAAAGGAGGACUUCCUUCAGGUGAAGUCAUUGCCACAUACUCUACUGUAAAGAUGACAGGAAGGCUACCCAGAACCUCAGGCAAGGCCAGGAGCCCCCACCCCCACCCCGUUCCACAGCCCCAAGGGAAGCUGUCCAGCUCUUCAGACCUCCUGCUGCAGGACAGGAUGGAACUUUAAGCAUUCUCUUCCUGGCCAUCUUGGGGAUUGUGUCCCUGGAGUCCCUCAUGCCAUGCAUCUCUGUCCUAGAGCUCUGGCAAGAUAAAGAGCAUCUAGACUUGUCAGGCCCUGGCUAGUGCUCUUUCCAUACCACCUGCUUUCCCAAUCAAACCCAGGUUCUCUCACUUCAGUUUUAGACCAUGGUGCAUCUCAGCCCAUCCCAUGAUCCAAAGUUCAGAGGGUCACUCUGGGAGGCUGGCAAGCUUAACCUGGUGUUCCACCCUGUGGCAGGGUCACCAAAGGGAAUGCCAGGGCUGCUUAGCCCAUAGGAAGGCCACACUAGUACUCUGGCCCAUGGGAGAAUAUAUAGUGGCUUAAAUUUAUCCCUCCCCAUGGGCCAACCUGAUCUAUAGGGACAUAGCAUAUCCCGGGAAAACGGAGAUGAUGGAUAUAGCAGGGUGGUAAAUCUGGUGGCCCCCGGGGUGGGGUGGAGGUCAGCAGCAUUUGGAAAGUCCCAGCACUCCCUGCCUGAGGUGAAGUCAGCCCUGGAAAACCUGAGUUCCCUCCCAGAAGAUGUUCAGCCUCAGUCCAGCCCUCAGCCCCUGCUUCAACCUGUACCCCCCAGACUGGUAGGGAUGACUCUGGGGCUUCUUGGAUCACCCUAUUCUGGAAGUCUUUACUGAGUAACCCCUACUGAAGGUGGUCAGGGGUCCCUGCUGUGGGAGCUGCAGGGCUCUGUGUGAACUUAGAGGAGGGUUGAGAUGAAUUAAGUCAGUGUGAAGAGUCGAGGGACUAGCUAGAGGGCUAGCUCUAGACCUCCCUCAGAUGGAAAACCAAGAUCUAGAGAAGCCAGGAGUACCAUAAAUCAAGUCCCAGCCACAUCUGUGAGCAUAUCAUAUCAAGCACACACAGGGCCCAGGCUGGUUUGCUGGACCUACUUUUCUUCCUGUUAAAAGCUGGCCUCAGAGCUGCUGGAGCAGAGCCAAGACAAGCAGGGGCAUCUGAUCCACAUCCUCCAGGGCUAAAGCAAAAGCUAGCCCCCAAGUUGCUGAGGAAGCCUUUGCUCAGGGCCCAGGAACUCCUGGUCCAUAGAUAAUUGCAACAAACUGACCUAGUUGGGUUCUCAACCCUUAUGAAAUGUAAUGAGUGUGAGAGAGGCAACAGUGUUGGUUGGUUAAGAGACUAGAAGCAACAUGUACCUCAGAGUCAUACAAACCUGGGUUCAAAUCUAACCUCAGACGCCCUGACCUGAGACACACCUGGCCCUGAUGGCCCCAGCCUCACAUUCCUAUGCCAGAGGUAGCUUGGUUUAGCCCCUGUGCCAGCAGCCACGGAGGAAAGAGACUCAAGAGCAGACUCCAGACAGUCUGGUCAUGCCAAGCCCACAGGACAGGUCCUUCUGGAAACGUGAACCCCGGGGCCUGUGUUCCCAGGCUGGAGUCAACAAGACAGCUGGUCCAUUCUCAUUCUAUAGGCUUUCAUUUUAGACAAGCCUCAAUAUGAAAGGAACCCAGCCUGGCUUCAAACUCAUGAUCUUCCUGCCUCAGCCUUGAGUGCUAGGAUAACAGGUGUGCAAAACCCUAGGGCUUUUAAAAUCUGUUUUACACCCAAUGGCCUGCUCUGCUACUGGGAGCAAUCUGGAAUCCCACUUGUCCUCUUCCUUCCAGGGACCUGGCCAUGUGUAGCAGCUUCACCUGGGUUUGGUGGCAGAUUUCUGAGCACAAAGAGAGAUCAGGCAGCACAAUGGCAGAGGGUUCUGGAAUGUGAUGGAGGCCCUUAAGUAUAAACUGAUGGGGCUCCGGGGGAUUCUCGCUUUUCCUCCACCUAUGUGCUAUGUGCACUCCCUGGAUGAUCACCAUUGGCCCCAGCCCUGCUCCAGCCCUUAGAAGGCUUCACAACCUAUAGCUAUAGUACCGGCUAGUUUUUAUAUCAACUUGAUACAGGCUAGGGUCAUCCAAGAAAAGGGAAUCUUUAUUGAGAAAUGCCUCCAUAAGACUGGCCUGCAGGCAAAUCUGUGAGGUAUUAUCUUGACUAAGGAUUAUAAGGGAGGGCCCAUCCCACAGGGAGUGCUCUUAGGUACUGUAAAAAAGCAGGCUGAGCAAGCCAGGAGGAGCAAGCCAGUAAGCAGCACUCCUUCGUGGCUUCUGCUUCAGGUCCUGAGUACAGUUCUUGCCUUGGUUUCCCUCAAUAGACUGAUCUAGGAUAUGCAAGCCAAAUAAACCCUUUCCUCCCCAAGUUGCUUUUGGUUAUGGUGUUUGCCACAGCAAUAUAAAACCUAUGAGAGCUGCCGUGGCCAAGUAGAGGCCAUGACACUUCGACAUCAUCUACUCCCAGUCUUGGCCAUGAUUGUAGCAUCUCUGCACUGGUACAGUGGCUUUAGUUACACACCUAACUGCUUACACUGCAUGCCCAAAGCACCAGAUUCCCUGGUCCAGCAGAGUCCUUCUUCAGAAUCCCCGGUGUCAUGCCUACAUCUACUUGGAUGCCUCCAGAACCAGGAAGCUCACUGCCUCCCAGAUAGCAGCAAGGGUGGCUCAAGCCUGGGGAUUCAUAUGCAAGGGCAAGGUGACCCUGGGUGGGUAAGGGGCUGGGGGGAGGGGCAGACUGAGCUAGAAGACAAGGAAAGAGAGGUAGCCCUGAGUGCACCUGUACCCACCCCCACCCAUCGGCCAGCCUGAGGGGAGGCCCCCAGCCCCACACCAAGGAGAGAGGACAAACAGCCGUUUUGUCCUUGGCCAGCGGGCGGCCUGUACUACACAAUGACCCUUUCAUCAGGCUGAGGGAGCCCUGGGCCGGGGUUUCAUCUGACAAGGGAGGGCGCCAGCCUCUUGUCCCCUUGGGAGGGGAGCUGAGCCCUAUCCCAGCUGGACUCAGGACCGUGUAAAAUGGAGGCCUCCAGGGAGCCUGCUGAAGCUGUUUCACCUGCCUGGGAGAUGGAGAGGUUAGUGGGCUGGCUAUGGGCUGCACAGAGGGGUCCUGUGCUGGACACUUCCCCCUUCCCCUCUGCUGACAUGCAGCCUGGGUCCAAAAUGCUAGUUUCCAACGCAGCCUUCCUGACACUACCAUAAUCAGAACACUGGCUCAAACCCCAGCAGGGCAUCAAUGCCUACCAGGACACCUGAAGCAAUAGAACCCUGGUUCAUGUGCCCGUCCAGGCCAGCCUGAGGCUUGGAGGUUCUGCAGGAGAGCUUGAGGGCAAAGAGACAGAGGCAAGAAGCAUCAUUUCUAGACCUCUCCCUUCAGGGUGAUCACCUGCCUCAUUGCGCUAGUGACAGGUGGCUGUGCCACCUCUCCUCUCUCGGAUGGAUCACCACAGGGAGAGCCAUGUGGGGGCUAGAGUCAGGAGGGCAUGAUGAUGACUUGGAGUCUGGGUGACCUUAUCUCUCAGGACUUCAGUACUCUGUCUGCCUCUCCAUCUCCAUGAGGACCCCUGGGUGGAUGUGUUUGACAGUCAAUUUCUCUCAUGCAGGAGUCUCUGCUGUGAUCUUACCUAGUUUGGCCCAAACUCUAUUCCAUCCUUAAAAAAAUCUUGUUUAGAUCCACCCAUAGGAAGUCCCCGAGACACCCUGAGAGCACACCAUUCCCUUCUGAGUGACUGCUCCCUCUAUACCUCCCUCUGUGUCACUAGCGGCUAACCCCAUGCCCACGUUCCUGCCACCUGUCUCCUGAACUAUCCCUAACAUCAGGAUCUGAACUGAGAGCACUGGCCCUGAAUCUUCUCUGAGUGCUCCAGGCUGCCCUGAGGUUUCAUGUCCACCACAGUCUUCCCGAGCAGAGGUGUUAGCUAGGGUCAGGAUACAGCCAGGCAGGAAGAGGUGGAGUGAGGAUGAGAACCCAGAUUUGGCAUGCCUCGUGGUCUCCAGGACUCCAAAGAAACCAGGUUAGAAAGAGCCCCACCCUCCAGCUUCCCCCACAGCUAAAGACCAAAGAGGCAAAGCCCUUUGCACACACAGGGCCUGGAAGAAGUCCAUCCCAGACUGUACCCCGCUCCCCUCUCAGCUGACUGGUGAGGAGACCUAGGCCCGGAUAGACACCACCCUCCAGGUGACCUGUCCAUGUUGAAGUCUUGUGACCCACACUGCCCCCCUGGACUAUGAUGCCACAGAAGCAGCCUGAUUCAGCGUCCAUCUCACCAAGGGUCAUGCCCACAGGGCUUUUAGGACUGUGGUCAGCACCACCGGCAAAGCCACAACAGGAGCCAGGAAGAGGCCUGACUGGGCCUGGGGAGGACAGUGGUGAGCACCCUCUGCACCCCCAAGCCAGGUGGUCGAACCCAGGACUACCUCCUCAGAGUGUACAGGCACUGCCCUGGGUGAGCUGGGUUCUCCAACAGCAAUCGUCAACCAAGAAAACACUCCAUCGGCUUGCCCACAGGCCAGCCUGGUGUGUGUGUGUGUGGGGGGCAUUUUCUCAUUUGAAGUUCCCUCUUCCAAAAUGACUCUAACUUGUGUCUAGCUGAUGUAAAAUGACAGCUGACCUUGUCAGCUUGACAUACAAACACAUCACUGGUGACUGGAAUGUUCCCUUUCUCAUUUGUUCCUAAGGUGGUAUAAUAUUGAUAGCACCAUAUAAAACACUCCAGCUUUGUGAUUUUUGUUUGUUUGUUUGUGACAGAGUCUCUUUAUGUAGAACUGGCUGGCCUUGAACUCAAAACAUAAGCCUGUCUCUGCAUUUUGAGUGUUGGGAUUAAAGGUGUACAGCAUUGUGCCUGGUACACAUCCCAGUUUUGAAAAGUUCUACAGUCCUUAAAAAUUCAAAUAUAUUGCAAGUGCAGUCUCUUUAAAAUAUCCAAGGUUUCUUUAAAAGUUCAAAGUCUCUCUAAAAUAUCCAAAGUGUCUCUAAAAUUCCAACGUUUCUAAAAUAUUCAGGGUCUCAUGACUGCAGACUCCUGUAAAAUCAAAAACCAAACUAAACCAGGGCACAGUCACAAUUAAAUUAAAGCCAAGGUCCAACAGUGUAAAAAGUCAACAGUGUAAAGAGUUUAGUGCUUGACAUCUGGAACUUACUCAUGAUCCUCUGGCCUCCCAAGGUCACCUGACCAAUGACAGCUCUGCCAUCCACAGCACACACAGCUUGUCUCUGAAACUCAGAUCAGCUCCACUCCACAGCUGUUGCUGUCCUCGGUGGUCAUCCCAUGAUAUAUCCAAAAUGCUGGGGUCUCCUCUGCAACUGGGCUUCACUUUUACCAAUAGCCUCCUUUCCUGGUUCCCCUCAGGGACUGUGACCCUACCACAUGAUGCCAAGCCUCAACUCUCUAUGACCCCUUCAAUCCUGGGGCUUCAAACCAGUUUGGAUAGGUGGGUCAAUGUAUACAUGGAUGGAUGAAUGCAUAGAUGGAUGACUAUAUGGCCCCUCCUGGUCUCUCAUGGUGCCAACCCCCUUCAUGCCCUCAAAACUAGUACCACUUGGGAGACUCUUACACAUUAUCAAGGCAGCUACUAGCACAAAGUACCGCUUUAGCUCCCUUGGACCAUAGCUUCUGUGUACUGACCUUGAGGAAACAUUUCUCAGAAAAUUCAUCCUCAGUGAUACCAGUCUCUUAAUCACAACUGAUUCUUCAGUUCCAAUGGACCAGCUUCAAUUGUCCUAGCAAACCAAGUGUUUCGCUUUAGUGGUUCUUAAUCCCAAAAGACAUAUGAAAGGCCUUGAUAGAGUCUUUGUUUCCCUCUGAAACUUCACAAGCCAGGCUUCCAUUGUCUGCACUGCUCUCAGCCUUGUGUUCCAAGUUCCCACAAUUGAGCUCUGACCACUCAAUGGCUUUUACAGCCUAAAGUUCCAAACACCUCCCCAACCUUCCCCAAACAUGGUCAGGUCUGUCAGAGCAAUACCCCACUCCUGGUACCAAUUUCUAUCUUAAUUAGGGUUUCUAUUGUUGUGAUAAAACAUCAUAACCAAAAGCACG